GUGAGGGGAUGACUGGUGACAGUGAGGGAAGGGAUGACUAGUGGCAGAGUGAGGGAAGGAAGGGAUGACUAGUGACAAGUGAGAGAGGGGGUGACUAGUGACAGAGUGAGGAAGGGGGUGACACAGUGAAGGAGGUGGUGACUGUCACUAGUCACCCCAUCCCUCCCUCUGUCACUAAUCACCACCUCCGUCACCCCUCUGUCACUAGUCACCCCUCCCCUCCCUCUCUCUGUCACUAGUCACCCCCUCCUCCCUCUCUCUGUCACUAGUCACCCCCUCCCUCUCUCUGUCACUAGUCACACCCUCCCUCAC